rnacentral:rRNA from 1 species
GGAGCCGUAGCGAAAGCGAGUUUUAACUGAGCGUUCAGUUACUUGACGUAGACCCGAAACCGGGCGACCUACCCAUGAGCAGGAUGAAGCGAAAGUAAAAUUUCGUGGAGGUCCGCACCCACGAGCGUUGAAAAGCUCGGGGAUGACUUGUGGGUAGCGGUGAAAUUCCAAUCGAGCCCGGAGAUAGCUGGUUCUCCCCGAAAUAGCUUUAGGGCUAGCCUCAAGGUGAGAGAUACGGAGGUAGAGCACUGAAUGUCCUAGGGGGUAUUGCACCUACCGAAGACUAUCAAACUCCGAAUGCCGUCAUCUUAUACUUGGGAGUCAGACUGUGGGUGAUAAGAUUCAUAGUCGAAAGGGCAACAGCCCAGAUCGUCAGCUAAGGUCCCUAAAUGUAAGUUAAGUGGUAAAGGAUGUGGGAUUGCACAGACAACCAGGAUGUUGGCUUAGAAGCAGCCACUCAUUCAAAGAGUGCGUAAUAGCUCACUGGUCGAGUGAUCCUGCGCCGAAGAUUUCCGGGGCUAAAACUUACUACCGAAGCUACGGCAUCAGUAAUGAUGGGUAGGGGAGCUUCCCAUACGGGA